rnacentral:snRNA from 1 species
AGCUUUGUGCAGUGGCAAUAUUGUAGCCAAUGAGGUUUAUCCGAGGCUCGAUUGUUGCUAAUUGAAAAAAAAAAAAAAGGAAAGUAAGGACUUUGGUUUAGCUUGGUAGAUCCUUAAACCCCAAAUGUGGGAGACUUUAUUUAUUUAUUUAUUUGAGAUGGGAUCUCA